CAAUAGCGUAUAUUAAAGUUGUUGCAGUUAAAAAGCUCGUAGUUGGAUUUCUGGUUGGAGCGACCGGUCGGGCAUUGAUUUGUCUGCACUGGAGUCGGUUCCGUCCAUCCUCCUGGAAAGUGCGUAUGGCAUUAAGUUGUCGUGCGUAUGAUCCAGGUCUUUUACUGUGAAAAAAUUAGAGUGUUUAAAGCAGGCCUUCGCCUUGAAUACAUUAGCAUGGAAUAAUAAGAUAGGACUUGGGUCUAUUUUGUUGGUUUGCAGACCGAAGUAAUGAUUAAUAGGGAUAGUUGGGGGUAUUUAUAUUCCGAUGUCAGAGGUGAAAUUCUUAGAUUUUCGGAAGAUAAACUUAUGCGAAAGCAUUUACCAAGGAUGUUUUCAUUAA
rnacentral:rRNA from 1 species